AAUGAACGUUGGCGGCAUGGAUUAGGCAUGCAAGUCGAGCGAGAAGUGUAGCAAUACACGGAAAGCGGCGGAAGGGAGAGUAAUACGUGGGAAUCUGCCCUUAGACCUGGGAUAGCAGCGGGAAACUGCUGGUAAUACCAGAUAAUGUCUAUGGACCAAAGGUGUGAUUCCGUCUAGGGAUGAGCUCACGUCCUAUUAGCUAGCUGGUAGGGUAAUGGCCUACCAAGGCGAUGAUGGGUAGCGGGUGUGAGAGCAUGACCCGCCUCACUGGGACUGAGACACUGCCCAGACACCUACGGGUGGCUGCAGUCGAGAAUCUUCGGCAAUGGGCGCAAGCCUGACCGAGCGAUGCCGCGUGCGGGAUGAAGGCCUUCGGGUUGUAAACCGCUGUCGAGGGGGAGCAACUUCCAUAGAGUUAUCUUUAUGGAUUGAGUGAUCCCUGGAGGAAGGACGGGCUAAGUUCGUGCCAGCAGCCGCAGUAACAC
rnacentral:rRNA from 1 species